GCCAGCAUUGUGUAGUGGUUUGAGCAUUAGACUAUGACUCUGGAAAACAGAGUUCGAAUCCCAGCUCAGGCA